rnacentral:rRNA from 1 species
UACGUAGGGUGCGAGCGUUGUCCGGAAUUAUUGGGCGUAAAGAGCUUGUAGGCGGUCUGUCGCGUCUGCUGUGAAAAUCCGGGGCUCAACCCCGGACUUGCAGUGAGUACGGGCAGACUAGAGUGUGGUAGGGGGAGACUGGAAUUCCUGGUGUAGCGGUGAAAUGCGCAGAUAUCAGGAGGAACACCGGUGGCGAAGGCGGGUCUCUGGGCCGUAACUGACGCUGAGGAGCGAAAGCAUGGGGAGCGAACAGG